rnacentral:rRNA from 1 species
UACAGAGGGGGCAAGCGUUAUUCGGAAUUAUUGGGCGUAAAGGGCGCGUAGGCGGCCAUUCAAGUGACGGGUGAAAGCCCUCGGCUUAACCGAGGAACUGCCUGUCAGACUGGAUGGCUUGAGACCGGGAGAGGUGAGUGGAAUUCCCAGUGUAGCGGUGAAAUGCGCAGAUAUCAGGAAGAACACCAAUGGCGAAGGCAGCUCUCUGGGACGGUACUGACGCUGAGACGCGAAAGCGUGGGGAGCGAACAGG